CGAAAGCUGCCCGCAGACCGCCCGGACUUACAGAAACGGAACCCCAGCCUCACCGCCGCCAACAGCCGCCAGCAAACUGCCGGCUGUUCCAGUAAUCGCCGGCCAAGCCCAACGUCGUUGAGAUGUUCCUCGUCGGCCAGUCCAGUCGCCGACUUCUGCAGCCUUCAGUCGCCGACUUGUUGUAAUGAAUUAUAGGGUUAAUUGGAUUGUUAAUUAAGGGGUUGGGUUAUUAGUUAUUGGGUUGGGUUAAUUGGGUUAUUAAUUAAUUGGUUUAAUAAUUAAGUGGGUUGGGUUAUUUGUAUUGCUUGGGCUUGGGCUUGUUUAAGGUUUUGAGUGUGAUUUAGGCCCAAAUUUGUGAAAUGGACUCAUUUAUUAUUUUGUUAUUCUGAUUUUGUAUUAUUUAAAAAAAAGUCAAAAAAAAAGAAAAAAAAGAGUCAAAAAAAAGAGGAGUUAAAAAAAAGUAUCGAGAAUUUUUGGGUAUUUCCUGACAUUUUUUAUAGGUGCAUUAUUUUCUCGACGAAUACGGAAUUUUCUAUCUUGGCAUCUCAGCGCUUAACAGUUCAGAAAGUGGAGGCAUUCAACGCUAGGACGACUCGGGCCAACUGAACUCAGGGAGUCUCUGAUCCUACUCAUUUUAGUGACACUGUUACUGUAUUUUAGAAUUGCAUCAAUACUUCUUUGUGUUGCUAAUAUUUUAACAAUUUAGUCUUAAUCUAUUGGAUUGAAAUUCACGAGCCGACCCCAUUGUUCACUCGUUUACCCCACGUGACUAGACCUAGCAUUUGUACCUUUGCUUUUUAUUUUAUUGGCAUUAGUAGUAUUAGCUUGCGAUCGGGGUAUACGUAAUCCCCACGAUAAAAUAAAAUAAUAAUAAUAACAAUGGAUAAAUUUCAAUGACUAUUUUCCCUGCUAGCACUCGUUGGUUGUUGAUCUCAGUAGACACUUCACCUAGCUUGUGUGUUACCGUGUAUGCAAUUGCGUAGUGGUCGCGUUACUGCCUCUAGCUCUAGUACCGUUGCCAUGGACCCUUCCCACAUUGAAGCUAUCACCCGACAGUUGGCACAAUUACAAAAUCAACUAACGGCUGUCUAAAUUGAGUUAGCCGCUACACGCGAGGAGAAUAGAGCCCUAACCGCUAGGGUAAACACUCUUAACCCGACCCAAUACUCAACUGAGGCUGAAAAUUCUGACGCUUCCAUUAAUAGACCUCAUCGUCGUCCACAAGGUAGUCGACACCAUGCUAGACAUGAUCGUAGGGAAGGAAAUCAAGCUCGUGGGCGCGAGCGGGAAUAUCACCGUCAUGGUACACUGUCCCCCCCUCACCACGAGGAGCGCCUCUUUCGAAAUAUUAAGUUGGAUGCCCCUACAUUUGAUGGUUGUCUAGAUCCUAGCGUAUUCAAUCAAUGGGUUAGAGAUAUGGAUCGCUUCUUCGCCUGGUAUGGGGUCCUUGAAGAUCGAAGGGUACAAUUUGCCAGUUUGAAAUUGACUGGCACCGCUCAACUAUUUUAGGAAAGCGUUGAGGACCUCCUAGAGAGGUGCCAUGCUCCCCCUGUUGGGAGUUGGAAUGAAAUGAAGCGUCGCCUUGAAGAAAAAUAUUUACCUCAAUCUUACAGGGGCAACUUACUGGAUCAAUGGAACGCACUGACACAAAGCAGUCGACCUGUGACCGAAUAUGUUGCUCAGUUUGACGAGUUUCGAAUGAGAUGUCAGGUCGUUGAGGACGAAGUCAUGACUUUGAGUAGGUUUAGGCAAGGCCUACGGGAUGAUCUUAGACGUGAGCUUGUUCUUAGAGGUGUCACCACUUUUGACCACGCCUACUCUUUCGUUCGGGAUUACAAGUUAGUGACUAGGACACCGUACAGAAGUCGUAGUGACUCCCGCACCGCAACCUCUUCUGCAUCCGCUCCACCCCCUAAGUCUAUUCUAGGACCUCCUCCUUCUAAUCUUACCCCUACAUCGGAUAGUAAAGGUAGAGGUUCUGAGGUUUCAAGAACGUCCUCUCGUUUGCAAUGCUUCAACUGUAAGAGUUUUGGUCACAUUGCUUCUAAGUGUUGAUGUAGAAUGAUUAAUUCAAUAAAGAUAACAAGAAGAGAUAUAGGAGAAGGAAGAAGAAGAAGAACCCGCACCGCAACCUCUUCUGCAUCCGCUCCACCCCCUAAGUCUAUUCUAGGACCUCCUCCUUCUAAUCUUACCCCUACAUCGGAUAGUAAAGGUAGAGGUUCUGAGGUUUCAAGAACGUCCUCUCGUUUGCAAUGCUUCAACUGUAAGAGUUUUGGUCACAUUGCUUCUAAGUGUUGAUGUAGAAUGAUUAAUUCAAUAAAGAUAACAAGAAGAGAUAUAGGAGAAGGAAGAAGAAGAAGAAGAAAUAGGGCACAAGAGGGAGAAGAGAUGGCAGCAGCCAAACCAAUAAUUCUCAAUUAAUUCAUCAUCCCAAAUAACAAUGUAAGAUAGGUUUAAAUACUGGAGAAUAA
rnacentral:lncRNA from 1 species